rnacentral:lncRNA from 1 species
AGAAAAAAAUAGAUAUACUUCAUCAGAUAUCUCUAGGAUAUCAUCCUCUGACUUGCUACUGACCGUCGCUAUAGUAGCCCUCGUCCGAUCCUUGAGUUGAAAGCAAUCUCUGGCUAGAUGUCCCAACUCCUCAUUCCAGUAAUAUCUGAUUUUGCUCAAAUCCCUCAUCCAGGACUUGGACUGCUCUCGUCGGAAUCUCCAGUCACUCUAUCUGCCGCCUCCUGCUUCUCUAAAAAUCGUAAAAGCUGAGCUACCGUUUAAGUUCGAAGCCAGAUUCUUCCGUUUAAGAACCUCAUUCUGGAGAAUCAUCACGGUGACCUCAUCCAUCUUGAUGGUGCUCUUCUCUACUAGAAGAGCAGUUAUCAAGGACUUAUACGAAGGGAGAAGCGGUGCUAGCAAGACUAGCACCCUGAUCUUCUCCUCAACUUUCUCGCCAAUACUGAGGAGGUUGGUGAGGAUCUUCUGAAAGUGGCUG